ACCAGGAUGGCCGAGUGGUUAAGGCGUUGGACUUAAGUUCCAAUGUACGGAUGUACGCGUGGGUUCGAACCCCACUCCUGGUA
rfam:Nematostella vectensis strain CH2 x CH6 NEMVEscaffold_350_Cont24649, whole genome shotgun sequence.